UACGGAGGGUGCGAGCGUUGUCCGGAAUCAUUGGGCGUAAAGGGCGCGUAGGUGGCCCGGUCAGUCCGUGGUGAAAGCGCGGGGCUCAACCCUGCGUCGGCCAUGGAUACUGCCGCGGCUCGAGCACUGUAGAGGCAGGCGGAAUUCCGGGUGUAGCGGGGGAAUGCGUAGAGAUCCGGAAGAACACCGGUGGCGAAGGCGGCCUGCUGGGCAGUUAGCUGACACUGAGGCGCGACAGCGUGGGGAGCAAACAGG
rnacentral:rRNA from 1 species